GCUACAGCCUUGGUGGGGGGCGCGGGCGAAGUUCGUCCGCCGGACUCGGAAUGGGGCGAGACUUUGCGAGGGGCCUCGGGGUGCCAAAAAUAAGCCGCGGGCAAAGCCGCGCCCAAAAAUAAGCGCCCGAAGGUCGUGGUGCCAAAACCCCCCAGCGGAAAAAUGGCCAAAAAACGGGUGGGCUAUAGCCUUGGUGGGGGGCACGGGCGAAGUUCGUUUGCCGGACUUGGAAUGGGGCGGGACUUUGCGAGGGGCCUCGGGGUGCCCGCGGGAAGUCGCGGGCACAGCCGCAUCCAGAAAUAAGCGCCCGAAGGUCGUGGUGCCAAAACCCCCCAGCGGAAAAAUGGCCAAAAAACGGGUGGGCUAUAGCCUUGGUGGGGGGCGCGGGCGAAGUUCGUCCGCCGGACUCGGAAUGGGGCGAGACUUUGCGAGGGGCCUCGGGGUGCCCGCGGGAAGUCGCGGGCACUGCCGCGUCCAGAAAUAAGCGCCCGAAGGUCGUGGUGCCAAAACCCCCCAGCGGAAAAAUGGCCAAAAAACGGGUGGGCUAUAGCCUUGGUGGGGGGCGCGGGCGAAGUUCGUCCGCCGGACUCGGAAUGGGACGAGACUUUGCGAGGGGCCUCAGGGCACCAAAAAUAAGCCACGGGCAAAGCCGCGCCCAAAAAUAAGCGCCCGAAGGUCGUGGUGCCAAAACCCCCCAGCGGAAAAAUGGCCAAAAAACGGGUGGGCUAUAGCAUUGGUGGGGGGCGCGGGCGAAGUUCGUCCGCCGGACUCGGAAUGGGGCGAGACUUUGCGAGGGGCUUCGGGGUGCCAAAAAUAGGCCGCGGGCAAAGCCGCGCCCAAAGGUCGUGGUGCCAAAACCCCCCAGCGGAAAAAUGGCCAAAAACCGGGUGGGCUAUAGCCUUGGUGGGGGGCGCGGGCGAAGUUCGUCCGCCGGACUCGGAAUGGGGCGAGACUUUGCGAGGGGCUAGGGGUGCCAAAAAUAAGCCGCGGGCAAAGCCGUGCCCAAAAAUAAGCGCCCGAAGGUCGUGGUGCCAAAACCCCCCAGCGGAAAAAUGGCCAAAAAACGGGUGGGCUAUAGCCUUGGUGGGGGGCGCGGGCGAAGAUCAUCCGCCGGACUCGGAAUGGGGCGAGACUUUGCGCGGGGCCUCGGGGCACCAAAAAUAAGCUGCGGGCAAAUCCGCCCCCAAAAAUAAGAGCCCGAAGGUCGUGGUGCCAAAACCCGCCAGCGGAAAAAUGGCCAAAAAACGGGUGGGCUAUAGCCUUGGUGGGGGGCGCGGGCGAAGUUCGUCCGCCGGACUCGGAAUGGGGCGAGACUUUGCGAGGGGCCUCGGGGUGCCCGCGGGAAGUCGCGGGCACAGCCGCGUCCAAAAAUAAGCGCCCGAAGGUCGUGGUGCCAAAACCCCCCAGCGGAAAAAUGGCCAAAAAACGGGUGGGCUAUAGCCUUGGUGGGGGGCGCGGGCGAAGUUCGUCCGCCGGACUCGGAAUGGGGCGAGACUUUGCGAGGGGCCUCGGGGUGCCCGCGGGAAGUCGCGGGCACAGCCGCGCCCAAAAAUAAGCGCCCGUAGGUCGUGGUGCCAAAACCCCCCAGCGGAAAAAUGGCCAAAAAAUGGGUGGGCUAUAGCCUUGGUGGGGGGCGCGGGCGAAGUUCGUCCGCCGGACUCGGAAUGGGGCGAGACUUUGCGAGGGGCCUCGGGGUGCCCGCGGGAAGUCGCGGGCACAGCCGCGUCCAGAAAUAAGCGCCCGAAGGUCGUGGUGCGAAAACCCCCCAGCGGAAAAAUGGCAAAAAAACGGGUGGGCUAUAGCCUUGGUGGGGGGCGCGGGCGAAGUUCGUCCGCCGGACUCGGAAUGGGGCGAGACUUUGCGAGGGGCCUCGGGGUGCCCGCGGGAAGUCGCGGGCACAGCCGCGUCCAAAAACAAGCGCCCGAAGGUCGUGGUG
rnacentral:lncRNA from 1 species